GAUCCUGGCUCAGGACGAACGCUGGCGGCGCGCCUAACACAUGCAAGUCGAACGAGCGAGAGAGAGCUUGCUUUCUCGAGCGAGUGGCGAACGGGUGAGUAACGCGUGGGUAACCUGCCUCAUACAGGGGGAUAACAGUUAGAAAUGACUGCUAAUACCGCAUAAGACCACAGCACCGCAUGGUGCGGGGGUAAAAACUCCGGUGGUAUGAGAUGGACCCGCGUCUGAUUAGCUAGUUGG
rnacentral:rRNA from 1 species